GUAAUACUCUAUAGUCCGGGGAGACUGGAAUGUUCUCCGGAUGAAAGAUCCGUCGCUUCAGGAUGAGUCUGCGGCCGAUUAGGUAGUUGUUGGGGUAAAAGCCCAACAAGCCCGUAAUCGGUACGGGUUGUGGGAGCAAGAGCCCGGAGAUGGAUUCUGAGACACGAAUCCAGGCCCUACGGGGCGCAGCAGGCGCGAAAACUUUACAAUGCGGGCAACCGUGAUAAGGAAACCCCGAGUGCCACCACAGGGUGGCUGUCCACCAGUGUAAAAAACUGGUGAAGAAAGGGCCGGGCAAGACCGGUGCCAGCCGCCGCGGUAAUACCGGCGGCUCGAGUGGUGGCCGCUUUUACCGGGCUUAAAGGGUCCGUAGCUUGAUUCACAAGUCCCUUGAGAAAUCCAUCGGCUUAACUGAUGGGCGUUCAGGGGAUACUGUGGUUCUAGGGACCGGGAGAGGUGAGAGGUACUGCCGGGGUAGGAGUGAAAUCCUGUAAUCCCGGUGGGACGACCUAUGGCGAAGGCAUCUCACCAGAACGGCUCCGACAGUGAGGGACGAAAGCUGGGGGAGCAAACCGGAUUAGAUACCCGGGUAGUCCCAGCUGUAAACGAUGCGCGUUAGGUGU
rnacentral:rRNA from 1 species